UACGAAGGGGGCUAGCGUUACUCGGAAUUACUGGGCGUAAAGCGCAUGUAGGCGGACUUACAAGUCAGGGGUGAAAUCCCGGGGCUCAACCUCGGAACUGCCUUUGAAACUGUAAGUCUUGAGUAUGAUAGAGGAUAGUGGAAUUCUUAGUGUAGAGGUGAAAUUCGUAGAUAUUAAGAGGAACACCAGUGGCGAAGGCGACUAUCUGGGUCAUUACUGACGCUGAGAUGCGAAAGCGUGGGGAGCAAACGGG
rnacentral:rRNA from 1 species